rnacentral:ncRNA from 1 species
AAAAAUAAGAAUAUGAUGUUGGUUCAGAUUAAGCGCUAAAUAAGGACAUGACACAUGCGAAUCAUACGUUUAUUAUUGAUAAGAUAAUAAAUAUGUGGUGUAAACGUGAGUAAUUUUAUUAGGAAUAUAUGAACUAUAGAAUAAGUUAAAUACUUAAUAAUAAAUUAUAUAAAAAAGUAAUAAUUAUAUAAUAAUAAAGGAUAUAUAUAUAUAUAUUUAUCUAUAGUCAAGCCAAUAAUGGUUUAGGUAGUAGGUUUAUUAAGAGUUAAACCUAGCCAACGAUCCAUAAUCGUUAAUGAAAGUUAGAACGAUCACGUUGACUCUGAAAUAUAGUCAAUAUCUAUAAGAUACAGCAGUGAGGAAUAUUGGACAAUGAUCGAAAGAUUGAUCCAGUUACUUAUUAGGAUGAUAUAUAAAAAAUUAUAUCUAUAAAGUAUAUAAAUAAUAUAUAUAAAUUGAUUAAAAAUAAAAUCCAUAAAUAAUUAAAAUAAUGAUAUUAAUUACCAUAUAAUAAUAAUAUGGAUAUAUAAUAAUUAUAAUAUUAAUUUAUUAUAAUAAAUUAUAUAUUUUAAUAGUCCUGACUAAUAUUUGUGCCAGCAGUCGCGGUAACACAAAGAGGGCGAGCGUUAAUCAUAAUGGUUUAAAGGAUCCGUAGAAUGAAUUAUAUAAUUUAGAGUUAAUAAAUUUAAUUAAAGAAUUAUAAUAGUAAAGAUGAAAUAAUAAUAAUAAUUAUAAGACUAAUAUAUGUGAAAAUAUUAAUUAAAUAUUAACUGACAUUGAGGGAUUAAAACUAGAGUAGCGAAACGGAUUCGAUACCCGUGUAGUUCUAGUAGUAAACUAUGAAUACAAUUAUUUAUAAUAAAUAUAUAUAUAUAUAAAUAAUAAAUGAAAAUGAAAGUAUUCCACCUGAAGAGUACGUUAGCAAUAAUGAAACUCAAAACAAUAGACGGUUACAGACUUAAGCAGUGGAGCAUGUUAUUUAAUUCGAUAAUCCACGACUAACCUUACCAUAUUUUGAAUAUUAUAAUAAUUAUUAUAAAUUAUUAUAUUACAGGCGUUACAUUGUUGUCUUUAGUUCGUGCUGCAAAGUUUUAGAUUAAGUUCAUAAACGAACAAAACUCCAUAUAUAUAAUCUUAAUUAUAUAUAAUUUUAUAUUAUUUAUUAAUAUAAAGAAAGGAAUUAAGACAAAUCAUAAUGAUCCUUAUAAUAUGGGUAAUAGACGUGCUAUAAUAAAAUGAUAAUAAAAUUAUAUAAAAUAUAUAAAAAAAUAUAUUUAAUUAAUAAUAUAAAACAUUUUAACUUUUAAUAUAUUUUUAUAUUAUAUAUUAAUAUGAAUUAUAAUCUGAAAUUCGAUUAUAUGAAAAAAGAAUUGCUAGUAAUACGUAAAUUAGUAUGUUACGGUGAAUAUUCUAACUGUUUCGCACUAAUCACUCAUCACGCGUUGAAACAUAUUAUUAUCUUAUUAUUUAUUAAUAUUUAUAUAAUUAUAUUAUAUAAUUAAUUAAUAUUUAUUUAUAUCAGAAAUAAUAUGAAUUAAUGCGAAGUUGAAAUACAGUUACCGUAGGGGAACCUGCGGUGGGCUUAUAAAUAUC